GAGAAGGCAAAGGACUGACUGAA
rnacentral:piRNA from 1 species